UACGGAGGGGGCUAGCGUUGUUCGGAAUCACUGGGCGUAAAGCGCACGUAGGCGGAUUGCUAAGUCAGGGGUGAAAUCCUGGAGCUCAACUCCAGAACUGCCUUUGAUACUGGCGAUCUCGAGUCCGGGAGAGGUGAGUGGAACUGCGAGUGUAGAGGUGAAAUUCGUAGAUAUUCGCAAGAACACCAGUGGCGAAGGCGGCUCACUGGCCCGGUACUGACGCUGAGACGCGAAAAGCGUGGGGAGCGAACAGG
rnacentral:rRNA from 1 species